UAAAAAGCAGGGCCCUUUUGCCUAUUGUGAAGAGGGCUCUCGUAAAUUUCAGGAAAAUUACUUGCAUUGUUAUUGGGUGAACCUCUGCACAUGUUAGUGGCUGAAGGUUCAGUAAAUGAUGCAACAUUC